rnacentral:rRNA from 1 species
GAUAGGUGGGAGGCUUUGAAGCGUGGACGCCAGUUCGCGUGGAGCCAUCCUUGAAAUACCACCCUGGCAUGCUUGAGGUUCUAACUCUGGUCCGUGAUCCGGAUCGAGGACAGUGUAUGGUGGGCAGUUUGACUGGGGCGGUCUCCUCCUAAAGAGUAACGGAGGAGUACGAAGGUGCGCUCAGACCGGUCGGAAAUCGGUCGCAGAGUAUAAAGGCAAAAGCGCGCUUGACUGCGAGACAGACACGUCGAGCAGGUACGAAAGUAGGUCUUAGUGAUCCGGUGGUUCUGUAUGGAAGGGCCAUCGCUCAACGGAUAAAAGGUACUCCGGGGAUAACAGGCUGAUACCGCCCAAGAGUUCAUAUCGACGGCGGUGUUUGGCACCUCGAUGUCGGCUCAUCACAUCCUGGGGCUGAAGCCGGUCCCAAGGGUAUGGCUGUUCGCCAUUUAAAGUGGUACGCGAGCUGGGUUUAGAACGUCGUGAGACAGUUCGGUCCCUAUCUGCCGUGGACGUUUGAGAUUUGAGAGGGGCUGCUCCUAGUACGAGAGGACCGGAGUGGACGAACCUCUGGUGUUCCGGUUGUCACGCCAGUGGCAUUGCCGGGUAGCUAUGUUCGGAAAAGAUAACCGCUGAAAGCAUCUAAGCGGGAAACUUGCCUCAAGAUGAGAUCUCACUGGGAACUUGAUUCCCCUGAAGGGCCGUCGAAGACUACGACGUUGAUAGGCUGGGUGUGUAAGCGUUGUGAGGCGUUGAGCUAACCAGUACUAAUUGCCCGUGAGGCUUGACCAUAUAACACCCAAACA